rnacentral:rRNA from 1 species
ACGGACCGUCCAAACGUUAUUCGGAAUCACUGGGCUUAAAGGGUGCGUAGGCGGCCCGGCAAGUUGGGUGUGAAAGCCCUCGGCUCAACCGAGGAAUUGCGCCCAAAACUACCGGGCUAGAGGAAGACAUAGGUGAGCGGAACUUAGGGUGGUGCGGGUAAAUGCGUUGAGAUCCUAAGGAACACCAGAAGGGAAAGCGGCUCACUGGGUCUUUUCUGGCGGUGAGUGCACGAAAGCGAGGGGAGCGAAGAG